rnacentral:misc_RNA from 1 species
AAGUCGUAACAAGGUAUCCGUAGGUGAACCUGCGGAUGGAUCAUUACUGAUUUCGUCUCUCUACGUACUGUGAACCGUCUUGAAAGACACUGGUCUUAUAGCCAGUUUUCAACUAAACGUAACCUUCAAACUAAAGUCAAAAGAGUUGAACUAUACAUACAAAUUUUAGCAAUGGAUCUCUUGGCUCUC